UGCCUGAUUCCAGGCUGAGGUAGUAGUUUGUACAGUUUGAGGGUCUAUGAUACCACCCGGUACAGGAGAUAACUGUACAGGCCACUGCCUUGCCUGGGACAGA
ensembl:miRNA